rnacentral:rRNA from 1 species
CCUACGAGAGGCAGCAGUAGGGAAUAUUGCUCAAUGGGGGAGACCCUGAAGCAGCAACGCCGCGUGGAGGAUGAAGGUUUUCGGAUUGUAAACUCCUUUUGUUAUAGAAGAUAAUGACGGUAUCUAACCAAUAAUCACCGUCUAACUCCGUUCCAGCAGCAUCGGUAAUACGGAGGCUGCAAGCGUUACUCGGAAUCACUGGGCGUAAAGAGCGAGUAGGCGGGAUAGCAAGUCAGAUGUGAAAUCCUUGGGCUUAACCAUAGAACUGCAGUUGAAACUGUUAGUCUAGAGUAUGGGAGAGGUAGGUGGAAUUCUUGGUGUAGGGGUAAAAUCCGUAGAGAUCAAGAGGAAUACUGAUUGCGAAGGCGACCUGCUAGAACAUAACUGACGCUGAUGCGCGAAAGCGUGGGGAGCAAACAGGAUUAGAUACCCCAGUAGUC